rnacentral:rRNA from 1 species
AGCGUACACGGUGGAUGCCCUGGCAGUCAGAGGCGAUGAAGGACGUGCUAAUCUGCGAUAAGCGUCGGUAAGGUGAUAUGAACCGUUAUAACCGGCGAUUUCCGAAUGGGGAAACCCAGUGUGAUUCGUCACACUAUCAUUACGUGAAUACAUAGCGUAAUGAAGCGAACCGGGGGAACUGAAACAUCUAAGUACCCCGAGGAAAAGAAAUCAACCGAGAUUCCCCCAGUAGCGGCGAGCGAACGGGGAGCAGCCCAGAGUCUGAAUCAGCAUGUGUGGUAGUGGAACGGUCUGGAAAGUCCGGCGAUACAGGGUGAUAGCCCCGUACACAAAAGUGCAUGUGUUGUGAACUCGAAGAGUAGGGCGGGACACGUGGUAUCCUGUCUGAAUAUGGGGGGACCAUCCUCCAAGGCUAAAUACUCCUGACUGACCGAUAGUGAACCAGUACCGUGAGGGAAAGGCGAAAAGAACCCCGGCGAGGGGAGUGAAAAAGAACCUGAAACCGUGUACGUACAAGCAGUGGGAGCCUCUUUAUGGGGUGACUGCGUACCUUUUGUAUAAUGGGUCAGCGACUUAUAUUCUGUAGCAAGGUUAACCGAAUAGGGGAGCCGAAGGGAAACCGAGUCUUAACUGGGCGUUAAGUUGCAGGGUAUAGACCCGAAACCCGGUGAUCUAGCCAUGGGCAGGUUGAAGGUUGGGUAACACUAACUGGAGGACCGAACCGACUAAUGUUGAAAAAUUAGCGGAUGACUUGUGGCUGGGGGUGAAAGGCCAAUCAAACCGGGAGAUAGCUGGUUCUCCCCGAAAGCUAUUUAGGUAGCGCCUCGUGAAUUCAUCUUCGGGGGUAGAGCACUGUUUCGGCUAGGGGGUCAUCCCGACUUACCAACCCGAUGCAAACUGCGAAUACCGAAGAAUGUUAUCACGGGAGACACACGGCGGGUGCUAACGUCCGUCGUGAAGAGGGAAACAACCCAGACCGCCAGCUAAGGUCCCAAAGUCAUGGUUAAGUGGGAAACGAUGUGGGAAGGCACAGACAGCCAGGAUGUUGGCUUAGAAGCAGCCAUCAUUUAAAGAAAGCGUAAUAGCUCACUGGUCGAGUCGGCCUGCGCGGAAGAUGUAACGGGGCUAAACCAUGCACCGAAGCUGCGGCAGCGACACUAUGUGUUGUUGGGUAGGGGAGCGUUCUGUAAGCCGUUGAAGGUGUGCUGUGAGGCAUGCUGGAGGUAUCAGAAGUGCGAAUGCUGACAUAAGUAACGAUAAUGCGGGUGAAAAACCCGCACGCCGGAAGACCAAGGGUUCCUGUCCAACGUUAAUCGGGGCAGGGUGAGUCGACCCCUAAGGCGAGGCCGAAAGGCGUAGUCGAUGGGAAACAGGUUAAUAUUCCUGUACUUGGUGUUACUGCGAAGGGGGGACGGAGAAGGCUAUGUUAGCCGGGCGACGGUUGUCCCGGUUUAAGCAUGUAGGCGGAGAUUCCAGGUAAAUCCGGAGUCUUGUUAACGCUGAGGUGUGAUGACGAGGCACUACGGUGCUGAAGUAACAAAUGCCCUGCUUCCAGGAAAAGCCUCUAAGCAUCAGGUAACACGAAAUCGUACCCCAAACCGACACAGGUGGUCAGGUAGAGAAUACCAAGGCGCUUGAGAGAACUCGGGUGAAGGAACUAGGCAAAAUGGUGCCGUAACUUCGGGAGAAGGCACGCUGAUAUGUAGGUGAAGUGAUUUACUCAUGGAGCUGAAAUCAGUCGAAGAUACCAGCUGGCUGCAACUGUUUAUUAAAAACACAGCACUGUGCAAACACGAAAGUGGACGUAUACGGUGUGACGCCUGCCCGGUGCCGGAAGGUUAAUUGAUGGGGUUAUCCGUAAGGAGAAGCUCUUGAUCGAAGCCCCGGUAAACGGCGGCCGUAACUAUAACGGUCCUAAGGUAGCGAAAUUCCUUGUCGGGUAAGUUCCGACCUGCACGAAUGGCGUAAUGAUGGCCAGGCUGUCUCCACCCGAGACUCAGUGAAAUUGAACUCGCUGUGAAGAUGCAGUGUACCCGCGGCAAGACGGAAAGACCCCGUGAACCUUUACUAUAGCUUGACACUGAACACUGGUCCUUGAUGUGUAGGAUAGGUGGGAGGCUUUGAAGUGUGGACGCCAGUCUGCAUGGAGCCAACCUUGAAAUACCACCCUUUAAUGGCUGGUGUUCUAACGUAGACCCGUGAUCCGGGUUGCGGACAGUGUCUGGUGGGUAGUUUGACUGGGGCGGUCUCCUCCUAAAGAGUAACGGAGGAGCACGAAGGUUAGCUAAUCCUGGUCGGACAUCAGGAGGUUAGUGCAAAGGCAUAAGCUAGCUUGACUGCGAGAGUGACGGCUCGAGCAGGUGCGAAAGCAGGUCUUAGUGAUCCGGUGGUUCUGAAUGGAAGGGCCAUCGCUCAACGGAUAAAAGGUACUCCGGGGAUAACAGGCUGAUACCGCCCAAGAGUUCAUAUCGACGGCGGUGUUUGGCACCUCGAUGUCGGCUCAUCACAUCCUGGGGCUGAAGUAGGUCCCAAGG